rnacentral:rRNA from 1 species
CAGCCGCCGCGGUAAUACGGAGGGGGCUAGCGUUGUUCGGAAUUACUGGGCGUAAAGCGCACGUAGGCGGCUUGGUAAGUUAGAGGUGAAAGCCCGGAGCUCAACUCCGGAAUUGCCUUUAAGACUGCCGAGCUAGCAGGUGAGAGAGGUAAGUGGAAUUCCGAGUGUAGAGGUGAAAUUCGUAGAUAUUCGGAAGAACACCAGUGGCGAAGGCGGCUUACUGGCUCAUACUGGACGCUGAGGUGCGAAAGCGUGGGGAGCAAACAGGAUUAGAUACCCCGGUAGUCCCUGUCUCUUAUCC